GGUUUAAUAUGAGCCCCAGCACUUGCGGCUGCUUAACGCUACUGCACUUUCUACGCAGCAACAUGGAAAGAGAGCUGGAAAACCAACGAGGAAAACACGCAAAGCAACUAGACAAGAACUAUCUCGUUGCUUUCCGAACACCGCUUUUCCGGUUCCCGGUUUCCUCAGCGCUGUAUUAGCGCGGGAUCAGAGGUUUCUAUUCUGCCUCAUCUCACUGCAAGCUGCCAAUACACUCCAAGCAAACCCAAGGAGGUGGCGAGGGACGGUGCCCAGCGCCAGGUCUCUGAGCAAACACCUCAGGGCUGAGACCCAGGGACCCCGUACCCUCCAGCACCCUCGGGCUGUGGAUAGAAGGUACGGGUCCUCCCGGGGUCACUCACCUCUUGCAUCCCGAGGCUUCGGUCCUGACCCGGCGCGCAGCUCAAGUUUGUGGCGCUAGGUCCGGCCCCUGCGGUUUCCUCGCCCAAGACCCCCUCCCGCUGUGGGCGCUGACGGCUCUUCUAAUCGAAUCUUACUCCACAACUGUAACUGAUGAAUCCCACCUGAAGUCUACUAGAGCCGUGUUUGAGACUCUAGAAACGCGUGCAAGUAACUAGCGCACACGGGCCAAGCUACCUGGGCGCACGCACACACCCUUUAAGAGACAGCCAACACCAAAGGAUCCGAACUAUGUUGUUUAAUCGUUUCUUCUUUGCGAAAUUCCGAACAGAUAGGCAUCCGCUUUGCAGAAGCUGAUCCAAGUGUUCACCCUUUUGGGGUGAAAGCCAGCGGAGAGGCCGGGUGCGGGGGCUCACGCCUGUAACCCCAGCACUUUGGGAGGCCGAGGCGGGUGGAUCACUAGAGUUCGAGAGCAGCCUGGUCAAUGUGGCAAACCCUUGUAUACACUAAAAAUACAAAAAAUUAGCCGGGCAUGGUGGCGUGUGCCUGUAAUCCCAGCUACUGGGGCGGCUGAGGCGUGAGAAUCACUUGAACCCGAAAGGCGCAGAUUGCGGUGAGCCGAGAUCGCGCCACUGCACUCCAGCCUGGAAGACAGAAUUAGACCCUGUCUAAAAAAAAAAAAAAAAAAAAAAAAACAAGAGGAGCUGUUUUUGGUGCAUUGAUGUGUGUAGACAGAAGCUGAACCCUUUCCUAUGGCAACCAGACUUGUACCCGAUAUUAUUAAUACAUUCCUGAUUUCACACACACAAAAACUGUUUUAUUUGCUUGUUGGUGGGGAGGGAGAAGGAUUUUUUUUCUUUUUCUUACAGCAAAUAGUUUUUUUUCUGCCUGUUACCUUUAACCUGACAAGUGUGCGUACCAAUGGCUGGGCUGAUUUGGGUAGGUGGCCGGUUUUGUGAACAUGGUGGCAGAACUAAAUAAAUUGGCCUGGAGUUUCCCAUAAAAAAAGGUCCCUCCAAUCCAAACAUUCUUUGUGUAAAAAUCAACUUGUAUUAUAACUAGACCUAUGAGUAUUUCAUGUCCUAAUAUGUACAGAAGCUAUCUGUCUACACCAAAGCAAAACAUAAAAUAACCAGAGCCCCUGUUAGCCCAGGACUUGAACACAUCUCUAGUCCGUUCAAAACAAUGUUUAUGUCCAAGCCUGCCAUAUCCAUUUUCUGGCAAAUUUAAUGUAAAUAUUCUUACAUUAAUUUGCCUAUUUUAACAUAAACCAAGAAAAUUCAAAGGCAAGGUCGUUUCCUUUUGAAUUAAUGGACUUUUACAAUAUUAAACUAGUAAUCAAGACAAGAACAGCUGUGAGUAUAAAUUAUUGAGAAUCAAUACAAAUAGGAUACCAGGGCAAGAAAGAAAUAAUAAUAAGAAGCAAUGAACAAAAUGCU
rnacentral:lncRNA from 1 species